rnacentral:rRNA from 1 species
UUGGAGGGCAAGUCUGGUGCCAGCAGCCGCGGUAAUUCCAGCUCCAAUAGCGUAUAUUAAAGUUGUUGCAGUUAAAAAGCUCGUAGUUGAAUUUCGGGGUCAAUAAGUUGGUCGUGCCAAUGGUAUGCACUGGCUUUAUUGAUUCCUACCUCUUGACGAACUGUGAUGCCAUUAAUUUGGUGUCGCAAGGAAUCAGGACUGUUACCUUGAAAAAAUUAGAGUGUUUAAAGCGGGCUUACGCUUGAAUACAUUAGCAUGGAAUAAUGAAAUAGGACGUUUGAACCUAUUUUGUUGGUUUCUAGGAUCGACGUAAUGAUUAAUAGGGAUAGUUGGGGGCAUUAGUAUUCAAUUGUCAGAGGUGAAAUUCUUGGAUUUAUUGAAGACUAACUACUGCGAAAGCAUUUGCCAAGGAUGUUUUCAUUAAUCAAGAACGAAAGUUAGGGGAUCGAAGACGAUCAGAUACCGUCGUAGUCUUAACCAUAAACUAUGCCGACUAGGGAUCGGAUGAUGUUAAUUUUUUAAUGACUCAUUCGGCGCCUUACGGGAAAC